UGCGUAGACGGGAAGUCAAGUUAGUUGUGAAAUCCCUCGGCUUAACUGAGGAACUGCAACUGAAACUGAUUUUCUUGAGUACUGGAGAGGAAAGUGGAAUUCCUAGUGUAGCGGUGAAAUGCGUAGAUAUUAGGAGGAACACCAGUUGCGAAGGCGGCUCUCUGGACUGUAACUGACACUGAGGCACGAAAGCGUGGGGAGCAAACA
rnacentral:rRNA from 1 species